rnacentral:rRNA from 1 species
CCUACGGGGGGCAGCAGUGAGGAAUAUUGGUCAAUGGACGCAAGUCUGAACCAGCCAUGCCGCGUGCAGGAAGACGGCUCUAUGAGUUGUAAACUGCUUUUGUACGAGGGUAAACGCAGAUACGCGUAUCUGUCUGAAAGUAUCGUACGAAUAAGGAUCGGCUAACUCCGUGCCAGCAGCCGCGGUAAUACGGAGGAUUCAAGCGUUAUCCGGAUUUAUUGGGUUUAAGGGGUGCGUAGGCGGUCGGAUAAGUUAGAGGUGAAAUCCCGAGGCUCAACUUCGGAAUUGCCUCUGAUACUGUUAGGCUAGAGAGUAGUUGCGGUAGGCGGAAUGUAUGGUGUAGCGGUGAAAUGCUUAGAGAUCAUACAGAACACCGAUUGCGAAGGCAGCUUACCAAGCUACGUCUGACGUUGAGGCACGAAAGCGUGGGGAGCAAACAGGAUUAGAUACCCCGGUAGUC